UGAUUGUGAGGCUUCCCCAGCCACAUGGAACUGACCAGGACCAGGGUGAGGCAAACAAGGUCCCUACGGGCACAGAAUUUAAGAAGGCACUCACUCUUGAUGAAACUGGAGGACCAAAAUUUUAAACUAUGGGAUCAGAAAUUCAAAGACUAUGAAUAAAAAUUUCAAAAGAAAGAAAUAGUAAUACCACCAAUAAGAAGAAUAAUUAAAAAGGUACAAAGAAAUUGGAUGCAACAUUGUAAAAAGAGCCAUAGUUUGGAGCUGAGCUGACAUGAGCUAAAAUCCUAGGUGAGUAACUUGUUAGCUAUGUGG
rnacentral:lncRNA from 1 species